AAUGUUAUGGUCAUAUAUUACUACUGUUAAGCAAUAUUCCUUUGUAUCAUGGUCGGUUUGAUUUUAUUUGGAGAUUUGUCUGUUUUAUGUAUAUGGGUGUUUUUCCUACAUGUAUGCGCACCGUGUUUGUACCUGGUGCCCAUGGAAGCUAGAAGAGGGCAUCAAUUCCCCUAAAGCUGGGUUUACAGACUUCUGCGAGUCACCACGUGGGUGCUAGGAAUUGAAUCCAGGUUCUCUGGAAGAGCCGUCAGUGCUCACAGCGGGCUGAGCCAUCUCCCCAGCCCUUGAGAUUGUUUUCAACGGUAACUUGCCACAAAUUGGAAUCACCGGGAUAGGGAGAUCACCUGAAGAAGAGUCCGGAUUGCCUGGGCCGAGUGAGAAGACCCACCUGAAUGUGGGCGGUGCCUUCUGGUAGGUGGAAGGGGCGUGGCGGAGAAAGAUCACCUGACCUUUGUACUUGGCCAUUGCUGCCGCGUCUGCUCCUAACUCCUUUGCUGACACCAGAUCAAGCAUUUCCUGGCUUUCCUGGGAGACUAGGAACCGGAGGUUCUCUGAGGACCUUCUGAGCUGCCACAGCACACUGGGACUACUGGACACCCAGUCUCAAGCACCAUGUAACUAAUGAGAGGACCUGAUUCGGUUCCCAGCACCCACAAUGGAUGCUCGCAAACUGCCUGUAACUACAGCUCUGGAUGAUCUAGCACCCUCUCCUGGCAUCUGCAGCGGAGUGGAGUGGAGUACCUUGGAUUUUGGUGAACUUGAAAGAGGAAGAGUCAGGAUGAGAUGCAGACCCCAAAGCCAAACCACCGGGACUUACUUCUUCCAGCCAGGCCUCAGCUUCCACAGCUCCACCACCUCCCAACCAUCUAUUCAAGACUCAGACCUACUAGUGGAUUAAUCCCUCGUGAUGUAGAAUCACUUCCAAACCCUGGAACUGGGAAUCAUCCUGAAGGAACAUCCCAGAUUCAGUCUAUACCAAGCCUUUGGCACACAGCGUCUCAAAGUCCCUUAACCAAGAGUGAUCUUGACCUCCUGGUCCUUCUACCCCCCAGUUCCUGAAUGCUGAAUGCACCAUGAUUCUUGUUUUAUGUGGUGCUGGGAAUAGAACCUACAGCCCUGAAUACUCAAGUCAAGCACCCCACCCACUAAGCCACGCCCCAGCCAGCCUUGAUUCUUGAUCGUAUGCUUUUUUCUUGUGUGUGAUUUAACCUCACAUUGUUUCCAUGCAUGUGGGAUUAGGGGUCUUUCAUUGGUUGUAUCAUACAGACCCCGUGUGGCUAGGUGUGAAGUUGGCUUGAUCUUCUAGGCUUAUGGAUCACAUAGUGAAUGAAAUUCUCACAGCACACUUCUCCGGGUGAUUCCCUGUGUGUCCUGACAUUAAAUGGUUUAUGACUACUCUUGCUAACUACAGACUGUGUCUUCUGGCACUGUUCCUGUGUGCCAACGAGGCCAUAGGAAAAACACUGGGAUCACUACCCAUGGGUUAAGCAAGAGGUUCCCAGGCUGAGGAUAUGAGGAAGAGCCACCACCUGAAAUGUGAUAACAAAAGGCAUGCUGACCCAAAGGCAGGGCUAAGCCUGUGGGUGUCCCUUUAUCCUGGGAAAGUCCCCAUCAGAGCAAUGGGACAGACACAGGCUCAUCUGAGUUCCCAGACAGUUACAAGACUGCAUCUUCCACACAGUACUAGACACUUCUCCGUAAUAGCAGUGCCCAAGGUCCAGUCAGUCUGCAGUGUUUGAAAAUGAAGUCAUUGAACACAAAGUUAUAGGAAGUUUGCAUUUUAACUACAGUGAUUAUAAACACACUGUCCUGUUGCUUGGUGUCACCGACUGCAGAGGAAUCACCCAUGUCACCUUCCUGUAACAUUGGCAUGAUGGAAUAUUCACUUCCUAGCCCCCAAGCAUCCUGACUUCCAGUUGUGUUGUGGGCCUCAAGCUUUUAAAUUGCAUUUUAACUCCGAGAAGCUAUGUUGGUAAGGUUAAAUGCACCCCAGUGAGGUAGACAAAUGGCUUCUGAAAGCCAUUAUCAUAGGUGUCCUGGCGUGCACUUGCAGACCCAUCCAUGUCAUCCAGGCUCCACUCCCAGCCUGGAUGCUUUGUAAAUCUGUGUGCUCGGUAAUCCUCAAACACACAGCAUCCAGACCAUGGCAAGCAGGCCAUGCUGUUCACUGUCAUGCUGUGAUAAGCCAGUCUCCAAAAGACUGUACCCCUGUAACAAAUACAAGUCAAUUUGUUUUCAAGUUAAUUUUUGGAUGUGGGAAUGGUGACUCCUGCCUGUUAUCCCAACACCAGAGAGGCAGAAGCAAGAGGCUCUGCACAAGGUCAGAGGUCAGCGGGGCUACAUGCACAGACCCUGUGUAUUGGUUACUAUGUUUCUACUUGCUUUGACCCUGCACAGACCCUGUAUAUUAGUUACUAUGUUUCUAGUUGCUUUGACCCUGCACAGACCCUGUGUAUUGGUUACUAUGUUUCUAGUUGCUUUGACCCUACACAGACCCUGUGUAUUAGUUACUAUGUUUCUAGUUGCUUUGACCCUGCACAGACCCUGUGUAUUAGUUACUAUGUUUCUACUUGCUUUGACCCUGCACAGACCCUGUGUAUUAGUUACUAUGUUUCUACUUACUUUGUCCAACUGCUAGACAAAAAGUAACUUAAGGAAGGAAGGAUUUGUUUUGGCUCCUGGUUUGAAAGGCUGCAGUCCAGCAUGGGGGAAGGCACAGCAGCAGGAGGACAGCCUGCCAGUUACAUUGUAUCCAGUCGGAGAGAGAUGAAGGGCAGUGUUCCGCUUUCUCCCCCCACCCCAGCUGAUGCGAUGCUGCCGCCUAUAUUCGUGGUGAAUCUUCCCAUCUCAGACAAUCUUCUCUGAAAACACACACACUCAGACACACGCAGAGGUGUGUUUCCAUGGUGAGUCUAAACCAGUGCGGUUAACAGUGAAGAUUAACCAUCACAUGUCUCAACAACAACAAGAAAUUAAGUUUGAAUCACAGUUGGGUUGAUCAUGGGAUUUGGGGCUUAGCUGAGUUUUCAUGACCUCUUUGGUCAUGACCUUGAACAAAAGCAACUUGGGGAUGAAAGGGUUUAUUUCCUCUUACAGGUUAUAGUCUAUUAUCCAGGGAAGCCAAGGCAGGAACUUAGAGGUAGGAACUGAAACAGAGACCAUGGGGAAGUGCUGCUUCCUGGCUUGCUCCUGGGCUCAUGUUUAGCUACUUUUCUUAUACAACCCAGGCCCUCAUGCCUAAGGAUGGCGCUGUGGGCCAAGGCCUCUGACAACAAUUAACAAUCAACAAAAUACCGCACAGACAUGGCCACAAAUCAUCUGGUCAAAGUUAUUCCUCAGCUGAGGUGGCUCCUUUCCAGAUAAUACUACGUUAUAUCAUUACACCAAGUUGACAUGAACCGACCUGCUCACCUCUUCUUGUGUAUUUCCUACUUCAGGAAUUUGGCACCAAGGUAAAGACUUCAGUGUGGUCAGCAUCAACAGCAAGUGCGAUAGAAACGUCGUCUCUUCAUUUUUCUUCACAUUUCUGGAUCCCCUGAUGCUUUCAAGAACAUUAGGGACAUUCAGUCUCUCUGCUGUCACGUUUCCCUGAUGACUUUAAUUUUAGUUAACACAUCAUAUAAAAUCAGCUGAACAACUAAGUUGAAAAGUGGGUUCUUAAAAGAAAGUAUAUCCUGAUGGAACUCUCGAAUCUUAAACAACAAACAAAAUCUGGGCUGGGGUUAGAGAAGUGAUUCAGCAGUUAAGAGUAUGUUACCACUUGCCAGGCGUGGUGGCACACGCCUUUAAUCCCAG